GUUUAAGUCCUGGCGAAAAUAUAAUAUUGUCAGCAAAAAGCCUAAAAAAUCAAUUGAGCCGGUGUUGGAAUCCGAGGAAUUACUUUUCGUUCAACCAGAGAGAGAGGUCCGCGAGAGACGACAUUCAGAAAGACGUCGCUCGAGCGUCGCACCUAAACAUAUGUUUGAAGAGUUACCCACAUUCCACAUGAAAUCGGGGCGAGAAUAUGUCACAAAGAUGCCAAUGCAACCAUUAGCCCAGGUUUUCCGGUAUUUAAACAUAGUGGACCUGGCUAGGUGUGCUCAGGUUUGCCAAACCUGGAAG
rnacentral:lncRNA from 1 species